AUUGAACGCUGGCGGCAGGCCUAACACAUGCAAGUCGAACGGUAACAGGAAGAAGCUUGCUUCUUUGCUGACGAGUGGCGGAUGGGUGAGUAAUGUCUGGGAAACUGCCUGAUGGAGGGGGAUAACUACUGGAAACGGUAGCUAAUACCGCAUAACGUCGCAAGACCAAAGAGGGGGACCUUCGGGCCUCUUGCCAUCGGAUGUGCCCAGAUGGGAUUAGCUAGUAGGUGGGGUAGCGGCUCACCUAGGCGACGAUCCCUAGCUGGUCUGAGAGGAUGACCAGCCACACUGGAACUGAGACACGGUCCAGACUCCUACGGGAGGCAGCAGUGGGGAAUAUUGCACAAUGGGCGCAAGCCUGAUGCAGCCAUGCCGCGUGUAUGAAGAAGGCCUUCGGGUUGUAAAGUACUUUCAGCGGGGAGGAAGGGAGUAAAGUUAAUACCUUUGCUCAUUGACGUUACCCGCAGAAGAAGCACCGGCUAACUCCGUG
rnacentral:rRNA from 1 species